rnacentral:rRNA from 1 species
AGUGAUGUGAAGCAAAUCGCACCAAAGCCAGUCCCAGUUCGGAUAAGAGGCUGAAACUCGCCUCUUUGAAGUCGGAAUCGCUAGUAAUCGCAGAUCAGCAUGUUGCGGUGAAUACGUUCCCGGGUCUUGUACACACCGCCCGUCAAACCAUGAGAGUCACCAACACCCGAAGUCCGCCUUGGCGGCCUAAGGUGGGGGAGAUGAUUGGGGUUAAGUCGUAACAAGGUAAC